GGGAAAGAAAAAAAAAGAGGGAGAAGGGGGAGAGAAGAGGAAAUCUGGCCAGGGGGCCGGUCACCGGUCCGUCACCGGACCUUCGCCGGCUCCGGUGGCUGGAGAGGUAAAAAAAAUUCUAAUUUUUUUGUUUUAUUUUUGUUUUAUAUUAUUUUUUCCUUUAUUUAUGUUUUAUAUUUAUGUAUAUAUAGGUGUAAAUAGAGUAGAUUCGAAUAUAUAAAAAAAAACAGAAAAUAAUAGUCACCUUAAGUUUUUUUUUUUUGGCUUUCGAUUUUGGUCCCUUGGGUCUCCUGAUUUGGUAUGAUAUUUGUAUUUAAAUGCUGAUGGAAGUGAUAUUUCCUUGUAUGUAGUUCGUAUUUCUUCUUUUUUUUUUAAACUGUCCCCCCCAUUUGUUGUUUUGAUGGCUUUUUAUAGCCUUUACAACAUUUUUAUUUAAUAUUUGUUGUCACUUCCUCUUUAUUGCUUGAAGGGCAUGGCUGGUGACAGAGGGGUCGAUGGAGGCAGACGGUGUGGCAGAGGGGUAGGUGGCCGAUGGAGUUGGUGCUGAUUAGGGUUAGGUAUUUUGUUUUUUUGUUUUGGGUUUGGGCUAGUAUCUUGGGUUUGGGUAUUGGACUGUUGGGUUUAAAAUGUAUUUAGGUUUAUGAUUGGGCCUCUGGGUUUUGGGGUUUGGGUCUGGUUGUAAAGGGUAUUGGGUUUAAUUUUAUUGGUUUAUGGGUAGUUGGGUUAUUGUAACGGGCUGAGGUAUUAGUUGGGCUUAAUGGGUUAUUAAUAUUUGGGGUUUGGGUUAUAAAAGGGGUAAAUGGGUAAUUGUUUGAGUGGCGGGUCUGAUUGGGUAAGUAGUUAAUGGAUUUGAAAAGAUUGGGGUGGGUUUUGUUUAGUUUAAUUUGGGCUGGUAAAUAGGGUUAUUGUAAAUGGGUUUUAAGUUGGGUCAAAUUUGGGCUCCUAUAUGGAAUAUCGAGGAAUUGUGCUCUAACUUACGGGGUUUCAGUUUUCUCGUUGAUUCUAAAGAGCCAAAUAUCCUUUUGAGCUUUAAAAUAUACGGAAUUCCAAUUAAAAUUAAAGACAAACUUGUGCUCGGGAGUUCAUAGUAUUGUGUCCUAACUUACGGGAUGUGAUACUCCGAUAUCUCGAGACGAGGAAGUCUUUAACAAUCGUUUUGGACCA
rnacentral:lncRNA from 1 species